rfam:Talaromyces stipitatus ATCC 10500 scf_1105507295511 genomic scaffold, whole genome shotgun sequence.
GCCUGGUUAUCUCAAUCGGUAGAGUGUCAGACUCUUAUCUCUUGAGGCAUCUGAACGUUGCGGGUUCGAGCCCCGCAUCGGGCU